rnacentral:rRNA from 1 species
GAUGAACGCUGGCGGAGUGCCUAAUACAUGCAAGUCGAGCGAACGGACGAGAAGCUUGCUUCUCUGAUGUUAGCGGCGGACGGGUGAGUAACACGUGGAUAACCUACCUAUAAGACUGGGAUAACUUCGGGAAACCGGAGCUAAUACCGGAUAAUAUUUUGAACCGCAUGGUUCAAAAGUGAAAGACGGUCUUGCUGUCACUUAUAGAUGGAUCCGCGCUGCAUUAGCUAGUUGGUAAGGUAACGGCUUACCAAGGCAACGAUGCAUAGCCGACCUGAGAGGGUGAUCGGCCACACUGGAACUGAGACACGAUCCAGACUCCUACGGGAGGCAGCAGUAGGGAAUCUUCCGCAAUGGGCGAAAGCCUGACGGAGCAACGCCGCGUGAGUGAUGAAGGUCUUCGGAUCGUAAAACUCUGUUAUUAGGGAAGAACAUAUGUGUAAGUAACUGUGCACAUCUUGACGGUACCUAAUCAGAAAGCCACGGCUAACUACGUG